rnacentral:tRNA from 1 species
GGAGAGAUGGCCGAGUGGCUUAAGGCGGCGGUCUUGAAAACCGUUGUGGGUGCAAGCCUACCGGGGGUUCGAAUCCCUCUCUCUCCGCCA